AUUGAACGCUGGCGGCAGGCCUAACACAUGCAAGUCGAGCGGCAGCACGGGUACUUGUACCUGGUGGCGAGCGGCGGACGGGUGAGUAAUGCCUAGGAAUCUGCCUAGUAGUGGGGGAUAACGUCCGGAAACGGGCGCUAAUACCGCAUACGUCCUACGGGAGAAAGUGGGGGAUCUUCGGACCUCACGCUAUUAGAUGAGCCUAGGUCGGAUUAGCUAGUUGGUGAGGUAAUGGCUCACCAAGGCGACGAUCCGUAACUGGUCUGAGAGGAUGAUCAGUCACACUGGAACUGAGACACGGUCCAGACUCCUACGGGAGGCAGCAGUGGGGAAUAUUGGACAAUGGGCGAAAGCCUGAUCCAGCCAUGCCGCGUGUGUGAAGAAGGUCUUCGGAUUGUAAAGCACUUUAAGUUGGGAGGAAGGGCAGUUACCUAAUACGUGAUUGUUUUGACGUUACCGACAGAAUAAGCACCGGCUAACUCUGUGCCAGCCGCCGCCGUAACAC
rnacentral:rRNA from 1 species